rnacentral:lncRNA from 1 species
UUUUACAACCGGAGGGAGAUCACCUCCAUCCCUGUGCCUUUUACUCUCGUCAACUAACCACACCAGAGAAAAAUUACACCAUUUGGGAAAAAGAACUACUGGCCAUUAAGGCAGCCUUUGAAACUUGGAGACAUUGGCUAGAAGGGGCCAAAUUCCCCAUUGAAGUCCACACUGAUCAUCGUAAUCUAGAACAUCUAAGAACUGCCCGCAAACUAAAUCAGAGGCAGCAACGUUGGGCUUUAUUCUUUGAACGUUUCAACUUCCAGAUUCAUUAUGUGACCCCAGCCCAGACCAAGCAAGCAGACGCCCUGUCACGUAAACCGGAAUACGCUGCAGGACGCAAGGAGACCUUUGAAUCCCAACUGCUACAACCCGAGAACUUUGCCACGCUCACGGUGGGGAACACCAAAUCCAUUCCCAUUGGUUCAAUUUCCUCUACUCCAGGACCCAUCUGUGCUCAAGAAAUCAGGGCUAGUCAGCAAGCAGAUGCCUGGGCGCAGGACCAACUUCGCCAAGGUCUGCAUUUUCCCUUUUCGCUUAAAGAUGGGCUGCUUUGCUAUAGAAAUCACGUUUAUAUCCCACCCGGACCGGGCAGGGAAAAAGCGCUUCGUCUGUGUCAUGACUGCAAACCAGCAGGACACUUCGGGCUAUUUAAAACUAUGCAUUUGAUCCUAAGGGAUUUUUGGUGGCCCAAGAUCCGCAAGGAUGUGGAAAAAUAUGUCAACACCUGCCCAGUAUGCCAGCGCUCCAAGAUACGAAGGGAGAAGCCCUCAGGGCUUUUACACCCCCUUCCUACCCCAUCUCGCCCAUGGGAAAUUAUUUCCGCGGAUUUCAUCACUGACCUACCACCUUCCUGUGGAUUCACCACGAUCUUAGUGGUGGUGGACCUUUUCACCAAGUUAGCCCAUUUCAUUCCCUGCGAAGGCCUCCCCACGGCCAAAGAGACUGCGGAUCUAUUCCUUCAACAUGUUUUCAGACUACAUGGAUUGCCCAAGAGUUUAGUCACAGACCGUGGAUCUCAAUUCACCUCUCGUUUUGGAAGGCACUACAAAAACUAUUGGGCAUAGACUCUCGCUUAUCUUCAGCUCAUCAUCCCCAAACAGAUGGGCAAACGGAGCGCACCAAUGCCACUUUGGAGCAAUAUCUUCGCUGUUAUGUAAACUACCAA